CAAAUAAAAAAGUAUUUGGUCAGGUAUAUAAAGAAAGAAGUAGUAAUAGUGAAAAUAUAAAUGAUAUAACAGAUAGUAAGAGUAAAUCAAAAUUUACAAAUAAAAUUAAAAAAAUGUUUUCCCACAAAGGUAAAAACGUAAAUACAAAUACUAACACUAACGCUAGCACUGACAGUAACACUAACACUAGCACUAACAGUAACACUAGCACUAACACUAACAGUAACACUAGCACUAACAGUAACACCAAUGGUAGUUCUUUUGCAAAUUCAGUUGGAGUUGACACAAAUAUGGAACUUUCAACUGGUAAGGUCAGUUCGAGUACUGUGAGUUUUAUGAUUCCAUCAGACAACACAAGUCAGUCGAACAAAGGACAUAACCCACGCGAAAUAGCCCAUGUAUAUGAACACAUCAGUACGCACAAACUUGUACGUGAAGAUAAAACUGAUAAUACUAAUCAUGACAACAUUUACAUUUCACAGUCAACAAAUAAAAAUACAUCAAAUGAUGACAAAACUUUGAGUGAUAAAAUAACUGAACAGGAAUCAGACGGACUGAAUAAGCCAGACGAACAAAAUAGUACAACUAGUAUUUCAAAAGAAAAGGAAGUUCCAAUAACAUAUGAUAAUUAUAGUGGAUCUCAAAUAAGCGAGAUACAAGAAAACACGUUGAUUUAUUAUUUUCAGAAAUAUGCAUCUAAAUAUUAUAAACCUUAUGAAGAGCAAUAUAUCGAAGAAAAUAAAUAUAAUAUAAAAGAUGUACAAAACUUAAAAAAAAACAAAAAAAAAAUAAUUGUACAAAAAAAAGUCGAAUGUAGAAGAUUUUCCUACGAUUGCUCCGAUUUUGUAAUAUUUGAUAAAACUAAUAAUAUUUAUUUGAAUAUUAAAAAAGCGUGUGAUGAGAUUAGUGAGCUGUCAACCGUUUUGGCUAACCAAGAACUAAAUAGCGAGUUGUUGAAAAAAAGAAGAGCAUUAUACAACCAAAAAAUAAAACAGCAAAAAAGGAAAAAGGGUGUGAACAGCAUGGGUAGUGAAAAUGAGACAAAAAAAGAAAAUGGUUUCGAAAAAAACGGAGUUGAAAAAAAUGAAGGGGCUGAAAAAAAUGAAGGGGUCGAAAAAAAUGAAGGGAUCGAAAAAAAUGAAGGGGUCGAAAAAAAUGAAUGGGUCGAAAAAAAUGAAGGGGUCGAAAAAAAGGAAGG
rnacentral:lncRNA from 1 species